GCCCCGGUAGCUCAGCCCGGUCGGAGCGGCCGCCUCGUAAGCGGCAGGUCGCGGGUUCGAAUCCCGCCCGGGGCUCCA
rnacentral:tRNA from 1 species